rnacentral:tRNA from 1 species
UCGGGUAUGGUGUAACGGCUAACAUUGCCGCCUCUCACUUCAUGACCUCGCGGCAGCUCGGGGUUCGAUUCCCCGUACCCGAA